rnacentral:rRNA from 1 species
AGUGAACGCUGGCGGUAGGCCUAACACAUGCAAGUCGAACGGCAGCACAGUAAGAGCUUGCUCUUACGGGUGGCGAGUGGCGGACGGGUGAGGAAUACAUCGGAAUCUACUUUUUCGUGGGGGAUAACGUAGGGAAACUUACGCUAAUACCGCAUACGACCUACGGGUGAAAGCAGGGGAUCUUCGGACCUUGCCCGAUUGAAUCAGCCGAUGUCGGAUUAGCUAGUUGGCGGGGUAAAGGCCCACCCAGGCGACGACCCGUAGCUGGUCUGAGAGGGUGGUCAGCCACACUGGAACUGAGACACGGUCCAGACUCCUACGGGAGGCAGCAGUGGGGAAUAUUGGACAAUGGGCGCAAGCCUGAUCCAGCCAUACCGCGUGGGUGAAGAAGGCCUUCGGGUUGUAAAGCCCUUUUGUUGGGAAAGAAAAGCAGCAGGUUAAUACCCCGCUGUUCUGACGGUACCCAAAGAAUAAGCACCGGCUAACUUCGUG